rnacentral:lncRNA from 1 species
ACAGUCAUAAACUGAGUCUCACUGCUCUUCUCUCUCUGCAGGGCUGGCUCUCGCUGGCCAAGGCUUGCUACAUGAUGGGCACCAAGUCGGUGAGGCCCCUGCAGUAUGCUUCCCACAUGGAACCCCAGGUCUGCCUCCACACCAGGCCUGCAGCUGGCUGCAGACAUAGCCAGCCUCCAGAACCACAUCGACUGGGGUCAAAACCAGCUCUGGGGACUCCAAGAGAAACUCAACCAGCUCGAGCCUGGUGCUGCCUGACAUGCUUGAUCUCAGGCCUUCUGUUUUCACAAAUAACUCUUGCCCCUACCCCAUGCCAGAUAAUACCCCCUCCAUCCCCCUGCUUUUCACCUUUUCAUCUUCUGGCAGGGUCUAAGCCAGAAAGUGAAAAUGACCUGGCCUAGAAUUUUAAGGAAACUAGAGGAAGAAAACUAAGUUUUUAAAAUCCUGCCUCUGUCUUACCAUAAGAAGUUUGAAGAGGCAAACUAAUUUUGAAAGCCACUACACUUUGAAACAAUUCUGAGGUCUGGGUGCCUAUAGGACACAAUCACAUGGGCAGGUACAUGUUAGUCAACAAUUGGAAUUGCCUGUUGAAUCACUCAGCUGUGUGUUCAUGGCUGGAUGAUAGGACACUGUGAGAAGAGAGGUGAGAGAGGACAGAAAGUAACGCUUCCUGUUUACUACACCCUCCAGAUUGACUUUCCAGGAGGAGAAAACCAUAUUCAGCUGAAGGAUAAGGGCAGUAUGACUUGAAUCAACAAAGAUACAAAUGCCUGAGUAGAUGGGCAGCCCUUGGCAGGGUCUAAGCCAGAAAGUGAAAAUGACCUGGCCUAGAAUUUUAAGGAAACUAGAGGAAGAGACCUAAGUUUUUAAAAUCCUGCCUCUUUGUCUUACCAUAAGAGGCUGAGCCUCUCUUUAUUUUUUUGAAGAGCCACUUGUGUUUUCUAUUCUGGAAACUUCAUUCAUUUUUCGACUGGGUUGUUUAUCUCUGCAAUAGUUUCUAGGAGCUGUUUAUGUUUGGUGGGGAAUUAGUGCUUUGUUUAUAUAUGUGAGAUGUAAAUCUUUUUUUUCCAGUUUACUUUUUUGCGUAUAACUUUUUGACUUUUUAUUGUGAAAUAAAAUAUGCUACAUCCAACUGCACAAAACAGUUGAAUAGCUUAAUGAAUAACUAUGGUAAAAGCAUGCU